AUGAACGCUAGCGACAGGCUUAACACAUGCAAGUCGAGGGGCAGCGGGGGUAGCAAUACCCGCCGGCGACCGGCGCACGGGUGAGUAACGCGUAUGCAACUUACCUAUCAGAGGGGGAUAACCCGGCGAAAGUCGGACUAAUACCGCAUGAAGCAGGGGCCCCGCAUGGGGAUAUUUGCUAAAGAUUCAUCGCUGAUAGAUAGGCAUGCGUUCCAUUAGGCAGUUGGCGGGGUAACGGCCCACCAAACCGACGAUGGAUAGGGGUUCUGAGAGGAAGGUCCCCCACAUUGGUACUGAGACACGGACCAAACUCCUACGGGAGGCAGCAGUGAGGAAUAUUGGUCAAUGGGCGUAAGCCUGAACCAGCCAAGUCGCGUGAGGGAUGAAGGUUCUAUGGAUCGUAAACCUCUUUUAUAAGGGAAUAAAGUGUGGGACGUGUCCUAUUUUGUAUGUACCUUAUGAAUAAGGAUCGGCUAACUCCGUGCCAGCAGCCGCGGUAAUACGGAGGAUCCGAGCGUUAUCCGGAUUUAUUGGGUUUAAAGGGUGCGUAGGCGGCCUUUUAAGUCAGCGGUGAAAGUCUGUGGCUCAACCAUAGAAUUGCCGUUGAAACUGGGGGGCUUGAGUAUGUUUGAGGCAGGCGGAAUGCGUGGUGUAGCGGUGAAAUGCUUAGAUAUCACGCAGAACCCCGAUUGCGAAGGCAGCCUGCCAAGCCAUUACUGACGCUGAUGCACGAAAGCGUGGGGAUCAAACAGGAUUAGAUACCCUGGUAGUCCACGCAGUAAACGAUGAUCACUAGCUGUUUGCGAUACACUGUAAGCGGCACAGCGAAAGCGUUAAGUGAUCCACCUGGGGAGUACGCCGGCAACGGUGAAACUCAAAGGAAUUGACGGGGACCCGCACAAGCGGUGGAGCAUGUGGUUUAAUUCGAAGCAACGCGAAGAACCUUACCAGGUCUUGACAUCCCGAUGACCGGUCCGUAACGGGGCCUUCUCUUCGGAGCAUUGGAGACAGGUGGUGCAUGGUUGUCGUCAGCUCGUGCCGUGGGGUGUCGGCUUAAGUGCCAUAACGAGCGCAACCCUUAUCGAUAGUUACCAUCAGGUUAUGCUGGGGACUCUGUCGAGACUGCUGUCGUAAGAUGUGAGGAAGGUGGGGAUGACGUCAAAUCAGCACGGCCCUUACAUCCGGGGCGACACACGUGUUACAAUGGCGUGGACAAAGGGAGGCCACCUGGCGACAGGGAGCGAAUCCCCAAACCACGUCUCAGUUCGGAUCGGAGUCUGCAACCCGACUCCGUGAAGCUGGAUUCGCUAGUAAUCGCGCAUCAGCCAUGGCGCGGUGAAUACGUUCCCGGGCCUUGUACACACCGCCCGUCAAGCCAUGGGAGCCGGGGGUACCUGAAGUCCGUAACCGAAAGGAUCGGCCUAGGGUAAAACUGGUGACUGGGGCU
rnacentral:rRNA from 1 species